rnacentral:tRNA from 1 species
UAGCUCAGUUGGUAGAGUGCUUGCCUUGCAUGCACAAGGCCCUGGGUUCAAUUCCCAG